CGCAAAUACUCACUACAGUGGAAUUCAGGUUGUGAAACCACAGCCAAAACAGAAAGAAAAGCUUUGCUGUAUGCCAAAGAGCAAUUCAAGUGGCAGUAGGUGGCUUUCUAUUUUCCAAUUUGCCAAGAUCUUUCUCUUGCUGGUUCUCACCUACACAAACAUUGUGAGAAAAUGGUGUCUUGCCAAAUGAAAAGAUGAAUUAUUAGAAGAUAAUCAGGCCGUCGUAGGAGCCUUUCUUUUCCCCAUCGAAUUCUGAAAGUGAGAAGAGUUGCAUAGCCCUGUGUACUUACGGAGCAAGCCCAAGACAUGAAGUUCUUGUGGCAAGAGGUUUGACAGUUUGAUUUAGCGGAUGAUGCUCAAAAUGUGAGUGCAGUUGAUCAGAGAACUUGACGAAGGUUGGAUGGGGUCAAACCCUGUGCGCACAUUAUUGGAAGAGUGGUCUGAGUUCUGACGAUGCACCUGUCUACUUGUCUCUACCUGCUGCUGCCCAUAGGGUCGCGUGGAUACAGUUGUUUGUGUCUUCACUGGAGGCCGUGGGUCCACAGGGUAACACUGCUGUAAACUCCAAGGAGGAAGGAAAGGACGCUUGCUUCUUGACAUUGUUUCUCCUGCAGAACAACUAGGACCCGGAUUAGGCAGCCCAAAGAAUGAAGAGAGGAGAGUAGGUGACCUCUAGGAAUUCAGAAGGUUUUCAUAUCUUCUGCAUUCAAAGUCUGGGUGUCUUCAAAGGCUUUAAGACACCCUCAUUUCUAUUUCUAUAGAAAUAUAGAACAUUCUAUCCUACAGAAAUCACCCUCAUUUCUAGACAUAAUUACAUAAAUUCAUUUAGUGCUCCAAACUUUGCCUAAGUGUAGGAAAUAUAAUGUGUUCUGAAUGAGCUGAAAGCAUUCUAAUGCACUGCGGUUACAUACAUUUUUAACUUUUCUGAUUUGGCUGAGGUUUGUCCUGUUUCAGCGAGUAGAUGGCUGGACGUCAGCUGAGAAGGAAUUGUGUGGAAGUGAACAGAUAAACAGUCUACUUUCUGCAAUGAGAAUUAUCUUCAAAAAUAUAUAACGUUUAGAUAUUCCUUAGGCCUGUACAUCAACAGAACCCAGGGACGGACUCCUAAGCCUCUGUGAAGGUUACGUCGAGUGGUUAGGAUCAAUCUUUGACAACACAUGCUGCAUUUUUAUAGCUGUCUCAAAGUGCGUUUAUACAUCUGAGAACUCACGGGAAACUCACGCUUCAGAGGCAGCUCCUGGUUUUUAAGUUCACUGCAGGUCAGAGGGACAGACUCUGCUCCACGUGGUCACGUGAAGACCUAGGCUCCUUCCAUACUGUGGCUGUACAUCUCUCAAAAGUGGCUGGGAGUUUGCUUGGUCUCCGCCAUCUGGAGUCAAUGACAAG
rnacentral:lncRNA from 1 species